GCUUUUAGAGUUUUAUAAUGUUGAAUUGUGAUUUCAAAGAUUUUUAAAAGCA
rnacentral:tRNA from 1 species